AGUGAACGCUGGCGGUAGGCCUAACACAUGCAAGUCGAACGGCAGCACAGUAAGAGCUUGCUCUUACGGGUGGCGAGUGGCGGACGGGUGAGGAAUACAUCGGAAUCUACUUUUUCGUGGGGGAUAACGUAGGGAAACUUACGCUAAUACCGCAUACGACCUACGGGUGAAAGCAGGGGAUCUUCGGACCUUGCGCGAUUGAAUGAGCCGAUGUCGGAUUAGCUAGUUGGCGGGGUAAAGGCCCCCCAAGGCGACGAUCCGUAGCUGGUCUGAGAGGAUGAUCGGCCACACUGGAACUGAGACACGGUCCAGACUCCUACGGGAGGCAGCAGUGGGGAAUAUUAGACAAUGGGCGCAAGCCUGAUCCAGCCAUACCGCGUGGGUGAAGAAGGCCUUCGGGUUGUAAAGCCCUUUUGUUGGGAAAGAAAAGCAGCAGGUUAAUACCCCGCUGUUCUGACGGUACCCAAAGAAUAAGCACCGGCUAACUUCGUG
rnacentral:rRNA from 1 species